rnacentral:rRNA from 1 species
UUGGAGGGCAAGUCUGGUGCCAGCAGCCGCGGUAAUUCCAGCUCCAAUAGCGUAUAUUAAAGUUGUUGCAGUUAAAAAGCUCGUAGUUGAAUUUCGGGAUCAAUACGUCGGUCGUGCUUUCGGGUACGUACUGGCGUCAUUGGUUUCUCCUUUCUGACGAACCAUGAUGUCAUUAAUUUGGUGUUAUGGGGAGUUAGGACUGUUACUUUGAAAAAAUUAGAGUGUUUAAAGCAGGCAUUAGCUUGAAUACAUUAGCAUGGAAUAAUGAAAUAGGACGUUCGAUCCUAUUUUGUUGGUUUCUAGGAUCAACGUAAUGAUUAAUAGGGAUAGUUGGGGGCAUUAGUAUUCAAUUGUCAGAGGUGAAAUUCUUGGAUUUAUUGAAGACUAACUACUGCGAAAGCAUUUGCCAAGGAUGUUUUCAUUAAUCAAGAACGAAAGUUAGGGGAUCGAAGACGAUCAGAUACGUCGUAGUAGUUACCUAACUAACUAACUAGUACGACCUAACGGUAGGUACGUACGUAGUAGUAGUUAAGUUUUUAAAUUUUAAGUACGUUACUACUUACGG